CUGGAUCUGAGCCACAUCCAAACAUUUCUUCUGGCUACAGGUCAAAACCCCUGGGCCUCAUAUAAUCUGUGCAGUGGUACCUCAGGUUAAGUACUUAAUUCAUUCCGGAGGUCCGUUCUUAACCUGAAACUGUUCUUAACCUGAAGCACCAUGUUAGCUAAUGGGGCCUCCUGCUGCUGCUGCUGCACCGCCGCCACACGAUUUCUGUUCUCAUCCUGAAGCAAAGUUCUUAACCCGAGGUACUAUUUCUGGGUUAGCGGAGUCUGUAACCUGAAGCGUAUGUAACCUGAAGUGUGUGUAACCCAAGGUACCACUGCAGUAGCAUCCAGCAAGGAGGAGGGGGAGGAAGAUGAAGACUGAAAGUCCCAUUCCUCCUUCACUGGUAAGUGCACAAUUUUUAAAAAUGGUUUGUUAAGGUUUUCUAGGAUUUUUAUGGUAUAAUAAUAAUAAUAAUAAUAAUAAUAAUAUUUUAUUAUUUAUACCACUCCCAUCUGGCUGGGUUGCCCCAGCCACUGUGGGGAGCUUCCAACACAUAUAAAAACAUAAUAGGGGGUGUUCUGGCUUUAAUGAGAUUUUGCAUAUACUCACGAUGACCAGGAAUGCAAUGCCUGUGUAAGAUCUGAGUUACCUGUACAUCAUUGUGACAUCAGGUGACUACAGAUGAGCAGUCUCAUCCACCUGUCAAAUUUGGCCUGUGAGGCUAGAUCCUGAUAACGAAUCUGAAUCACACCCUUUCCCCAGGUUACAUUCUCCGCGAAGUUUUUAUUUGUCUCGUUGGAGAAAACAUACUGUUAUCAAUAUAUAAAACCUGUAUGUUUUCCUCUGCAGAUGGGAUAGCAACUUUGAGGAGGGCUGGACAAUUUGAACUGAGGAAAUGGUGUUGGUGAAUAUGCUUAACCCUCCUUCCAAAUAUUGCAGCCCUGAUUUAAUUCAGAGGGCACUGGGGUUUUUUACCUUUUCAAAAUCUUCAGGGAGAUCUGCUCAUACGCCAUCUUCCAACACCACAUCUGGUUUUAUCCCCAGAGCAUAUUUCAUUCAAAGUGAGUGUUCCUUUUCUACUCUCAAGCAUACAACACAGCUCCUAGUCCUCCGAGAUCACUGGAUCUAGCAAGUUGUUUGUUGCUAAUUGGAUUGACUGCUUAAAAUACUUUACCUAAUUGUAUUCCGUUGCCAAAGGCUUUCCGGCACCUUGAUGAUGUUUCUAUCAGGAAUUAUGCUCAGGGUGCUUAGAUAGGAUGAUGACAUCCUUGAGUUAUUGCAUAGCUUAAAGAGCUGAUCUCUGAGCAUAUGUUUGAAAACUUCAAAUUCCCAUUUGAUAACCUCAGAAUUUAUGGAGAGAAUUCCAAAGCUAUAGAGGAAGACAAAUGAAUAUGAUGCUUGCGUUGACUGAGGCUGAAUAAUUACAACAAGGUUCUGGAUCUAACGUUCCACUAGGCAAUAAAUUUGCCAGCUUAAUGGAACUGGGGUAGAUCUGGGGUAGCCAAUGUGCUGUCGGCUAGGUGUUUUGAACACCAGCUCCCAUGAGCCCUAGUCAGCAUAGCCAGUGGUCAGGGAUGGUGGGAGUUGCAGUACAGCAAAUAUAUGGAUGGCAUCACUGACCUAGAUGUUACCAUAUGGCAGAAUAAAGCUACUCAAAUGUCAAGGGUGCCAUGGUGGUACAAGCAUAUUUUAACUCCAAGCUAGAGUGUGUGAGAGAAAUAGAGAGAUUGCUUUUGAGUCGGUUAUCUUCCUGGACCGGAUUUCUAACUCAAAACUGUAGCAAAUGAUUAUAUAUGACAUUUAGAGACAAAUGAUCUAAUUCUGUAAAACUUAUACACACAUAGGAGGGAAAGCAUGCACAUACAUGGCUGAGCAAACAAGCCAGUUUUGAAUUAUGAAAAGCAGCUUUCCUGAUGAGCUUUUCUCUUGGCAAAAGUCACAUCUGCACAUAAUUCUGCUGUUAAAGAUAGAAGAGAUUCGUCCUUCAAUCCAUCUGGUCACCUUUGUUCUCAAAGAGAAGAGAGAUGAAGAUGUAUGAGAAGCAUGAGGGACUCGGGGCCAGGGCGAUGACACACACUUUUCAGACAGGCUUACUGUUUCUAGGGCUACUGAUUCUGCUGGACAUUGUCAGCACAACCUUGACUGUGGUGGGUCCAAACGCCAGCAAAAGAUAGUGCACAACAGAUGACUCGAUGACAUUUUCUUUAUCAUAGAAUAUGUGAUUCAUUGCUGAUAAAAUGGUGUGGCUACUGCCAUGUAAACUAAUGUCAUUUAUUUAUUUAUUUAUUUAUUUAUUUAUUGCCUGAACUUUACAGUUUCUGUAUUCUGAAUCACUGACCUAAUUGUUCUGUUCAGAUGCAUACUAAACUGCAUUUAUUUAUACCAGCUCUUUUUCUCACAUGUUGCCCACUUUGUGAAAGGUGAACACAAAUGGGUUCAUUCGGAUCUGGCUACUCCCAGUACAUUUCCAAGCACAAUUCAAAGUGUUGGUGCUGACCUUUAAAGCCCUAAACUGCCUCGGUCCUGUAUACCUGAAGGAGCAUCUCCAUCCCCAUCGUUCUGCCCGGACACUGAGGUCCAGUGCCAAGUGCCUUCUGGCGGUUCCCUCACUGUGAGAAGUGAGGUUACAGGAAACCAGGCAGAAGGCCUUCUUGGUUGUGGUGCCCACCCUGUGGAACGCCCUCCCAUCAGAUGUCAGGGAAAUAAACAACUACAGUCAUACCUCGGGUUACAGAUGCUUCAGGUUGCAUGUUUUCGGGAUACGGACGCGCCAAAACCCGGAAGUACAGGAACGGGUUACUUCCGGGUUUUGGCGCUCGCGCAUGCACAAAAACACUAAAUCGCGCUUUGCACAUGCGCAGAAGCACUAAAUCGCAUUUUGCGCAUGCGCAGACGCAGCACUGUGGGUUGCAGACACUGAGGGUUGUGAACGUGCCUCCUGUAUGGAUCACGUCGGCAACCCGAGUGUCCACUGUAUCUGACUUUUAGAAGACAUCUGAAGGCACCCCUGUUUAGGGAAGUUUUUAAUGUCUGAUCUUUUAUUGUGUUUUUAAUAUCCUGUUGUAAGUCACCCAUAUUGGCUGGGGAAGCCCAGCCAGAUAGGUGGGGUAUAAGUAAUAAAUUUAUUAUUAUUAUUAUUAUUAUUAUUAUUAUUAUUAUUACUCAUAUGGAAAGUCACAGUGUUAGAGAAUGCUAACGCACACUGCUGCCUCUGUCCCCCUCAGUAAAGAGUCAUCUACCACCACUAGAUAUCUCUUUCUCAUCUGGAGAGUGGCAGGAAUAGUUCUGUACACCACACCUUCCAUAGUCACCUUGGUGUAUUUUGAGGUCUGCAACUGCAGUCCUUGCUCCUCUGCUCCAGAAUCAGUGCCCAAGGUGAAGGCAGGGGAUCGAUUCUGCAACUCCAGUGACACAGCAGGGCUCCUGACAGUCCUGCCUCUGUGUGUCAUGUUCCUCCAGGGGUUCAUCUCUGGUAAUGGGAGAUCUUCCUCCUCCCUAGGGGCACCCAACCUGUGUGGCUGUUCCAGGACAGUCCACUAGGCUUUAUCAUCUUUAUCUUUCCCAGUAGCAUAAAGUGUGGAUAGUCUGGCCUCAAGUUGCUGCACCGUCUCUUGCAGCAAGGCAGCCGGCUUGCAAUUGCUGCAGGUCUAGUUUUGCACUAUCUCAGGCAGGAAGACAAACAUGGCAUGGGUUUUAGAGGUCACUGCAGCAGCUCCCUCACUGUCCAUGUAUCUUGGUCCAACAUACACUGUGAGACAGCACUCCUGGCCUCUUCCUCAAAACGCCCUCGUGAACACCUCUGAUUACAAAUCCUGGUCACGAGUCCUAGAGGCUGCAAUGAAUUUAAAAAGUAUUCUUCAGUUUCAGGGCUACUGUAGUUUCCAUCAUGCUGCUGCAGCUGACCAUCCAAUACUACCACCAGUAUGGGCAAUCUACCUGGAAGAUAAAUUGUAUUUCGAGGAAUUAGUGAUCUGACAUGAUUACUCUUCCUGCCUCUGUUCCUUCCCCCUCCCUGAGCACAUUUAAGUUCUAUGAUGGCAUGAGAACACCUUUAAUGUCCUAAUCAAUUGGGAGGAACACCUUCUUUGAUGUUGGACAUUAUUUUGAGAAUGUGAGGCAUUGGGAAGGUGUGGCCAAUGAAUGCUCUGCACGUAGCCAGCCGGGCAAGCCACACAGGCUAGCUAACUAUAAAUCAGAUGGUUGUGGGCAGAGUUUUUGAGAAGCUUGUGCAUGGACUGACGGCCUUGAAAACUGAGGCUCCCUGGGGGCGUCACUUCGUCACUUCUUGAGGGCUUCCAAGUGGCAGAUUGAAGUGCUUGCUUCGUAUAUAUAUUGCUUGCUGUUUAGAACAAAACCUUUAAUCUUCUCACUCACUUGUGUUUUGUAUUACUUCAUAAUCUCAUUUUAAAAGAACCACCUUGCAUUUGGCAAGACACCACCCAAGUCCCCACUCUGCCUUCAGGAUGAAGAUGUAGACUUGCCAAAAUCAGCUCACCAGGACUGUGAUAGGAAUUCAGGAGUCAUCAUUCCUACUCACAGCAAAAUAUGGACUAUUCUUGGUUCACCUCCAUACCAGGAUGGUCCAGUUGUCACAGUGACCAACACUACCUGCAUCUGCUGUUUUGGAUUCUCUACCUCCAGUUUGGCAGAUCUGAAAUGUUGCUGGAUAUUGAUGCUGGC
rnacentral:lncRNA from 1 species